UGCCGGUGGUUCCAGUUUGUUUA
rnacentral:siRNA from 1 species